GAACUGCGGAAGGACAUUG
rnacentral:rRNA from 3 species